GGCCUGGGCACCACCCUCACGGCCCUCCGGGCAGCCUGAAUCUGCAGGAUGGGCUCGCUCUCCAGGGUCCUAGGAUGCUUUCCUCAGGCAGGGAAGACAACAGUAAAGCUCGGUGGAGGAGCACAGAAAGCAGGUGGAGGAGCACAGCGGGGAAUGUGUUUCCGUGGGAAGACCCAGGGCCCUCCAUCCCACCCUCAGCCCCUCUCGGGCGGGCCCCCGGGCGCACAGCCCUGCUGAGAAGCAGCGGGUCCCGAACCAGCACACAGCCGGCAACGAAGGCCCCUGAACACACGUUAACCGUGAUCAUUACAGGGCCACUAACAAACAUCUGUCGGCUACACACCGAAUCGCGGGCACCAGGACUUUACCCCCUCCAUAUCCUCAGGCCUCCGCCACGAUGAGAAGCUUGUCGGCAACGAGGGGUCCUGUCUGGAGGCUGGGCUCGGCCAUGGGGCUGUGGGUCACCCCCAAGGUUAUCCUUUCCUGCGGGGCGUCAGGUGUGUGUUUUACCCCUCGGAGCCCCCGUCGUCUCCUUAGGGCGACUGCAGUAUUACAGCUGCACCUUCUAACAGCGCUCCCCAUCGGACUGUGGGAAGAAUUCACGGAGUUGCCAGACAUAAAGGGCGCAGAAGACUUAGUGCUGAGGGCAGUGCCUGGACCAGCUUGCAUCGAUCCUAUUGUGCAAGGGCAGGAUCUCGCGCUAGGCCACGGCCAGCCGCUAGAAGAGCCGGGGUUGGGGGCCAAGCGUGUGACACUCAGCCAGCCCGCUAGCAGGCGGGCCAUUUGCCUGAGACAGUCCUGGCUUUUGCCUGUCAUCUGAGGAUCCAGUUUGGCAUGUGCCCAGAACCGGCAUUCCGGUUUGGUUGAUAAAUUAUAGAAACUGCUUACACACGGAUGUAUAUAAAGCUCAAAUUUAUUAACACAAAUGUGUUUCGUCACUCGUAAGCCAUCGGGUCACAGGUAUACACCCCAAGCUCCUUCUUCCCAGCCAUGGGCUGGACUAAGCCACGCAUUCUUGCAGCAAAUGCAUACUGAGUGCAGUGAGCCAGACUGGGGAUCCUGGAACAGGGGAUUGAGGGGGCGGGGUGGGAUGAGCGGACAGGAGUGUGUGCCACUGCCAUGACACCAGGAAAACACAGCACCGACGAUAAUGCAGACUCGGGACCGGGACUGUGGGAGUGUGGGGCUGUGAGCUCGGGCAGAGCGCUGAACCAUCCAGGCCUCUGCUUGCUGGCCCAUAAAAUGGGAGGACGGAGAGAACUGUCAGGCCACCAGCUCUGAGGCUUCCUCUCCCUUAAUGCUCGAUGACUUUGCUGGAGUCCACCUGGAGGGACCCAAAGAACCAUGAACAUGGGAGGUGGCAUUUCAGCCAGGCCACAAAGGGUGAGCCGGCUUUUAGUAAACAGGGCAUGGGCGCCUGUAAGUGAAAAAUCCUAUUUGCAUAGGUCCUUGGGAGUGAAAGUCCCGGCCUGCUGGAAGAAAGACUGGAGGAGUAGACUAGGGACGCAGCGGAGGAGGGAGGGUCACGGCGCCUCGAAUGCCCCCCUCGAAUGAGGCUCAUCCUUGGAAGGUGGUCUCACCCCUGAGGAUGCUCCUCUUUAGCACCUUGCUCAAGCCAACUGUGCAAACGGUUUCUGGGGAACACAAACACGCUUGCGGAAACCCGCACGCACCUCAGAGAGCACCUUCUUCCCCACCUAACUUCUCUUCCUGGCAGUAACUAACGGCUUGACCACGUGUUCUAGAUUUCUUUGUUAGUUGCUUAUUUUUAUUCUCCCCACGGACAGUAAGUUCUAUGAGAACAGAGUCUGGGGGCACCCGGGGGGCUCAGUGGUUGAGCAUCAGCCUUCGGCUCAGGUCGUGAUCCUGGAGACCCAGGAUCGAGCCCCACAUCGGGCUCCCUGCAUGGAGCCUGCUUCUCCCUCUGCCUGUGUCUCUGCCUCUCUCUCUGUGUGUGUGUGUCUUUCAUGAAUAAAUAAAUAAAAUCUUAAAAAAAAAAAAGAGCAGAGUCUGUGCCUGUUUGUUUUCUCCGCUAUUCUCAGUGUCUGAACAACUGAAGACUGGUUCGCUGCGCUCCUACUGUAUACACGCAGCAGGUACGGACGCAUCCAUAAGCAUAUGUGCAUGUUGGCCUCCAACUCUGGGGUGGAAAAGAAUUGGCUGGAAGAAGAGAGCAGGGGCCCUUGUGGGGCAGCGGGGUGACGGUGGGUUGGCAGGAGAGUGGGGAGGGAAGGAAAAAGGGCAGCCGACCGCCCUGGAAAUAGCGUGGGACUGUGGGCACUUCGGGGACCCAAAGGGAGGAGACACACCGAAGCUCCCACGUGUGGCCGUCCUCGCAGACCGGGCUCCUCGCUCACUGCCGCGCGAGGAUGCCCGCCUCGCACUGUGCGGACUGGAAGCACGGGGCCUCCCAGAGGUGGGUCAGCAGCAAAUCUCAGCUGCCCACCACCCUCACCGGCACCCACCAGGCCAGAGCCGGAUGGCAGAGACCCGCGCCCGGGCCAGAGACCCGGAGGAAGCAAGGAUUAGAUGGAGAAGGUGUAGAGGGGCACCGUGGCUGCCGACAUCCGGGAAGCACACUGGACACCGGGAAUCCCGCGGCACUGGUCGUUUAUUGCAGGAGAAGCGGAGAAGUGGACAUGACCCGAAGGGGCGCCCCUGGCUGCGGAGGCCCAGGAAAGACGGGGGGCAGAGGGGU